rnacentral:rRNA from 1 species
UACGUAGGGGGCAAGCGUUGUCCGGAUUUAUUGGGCGUAAAGAGCGUGUAGGCGGCCGCACAAGUCCGUUGUGAAAACUGGAGGCUUAACCUUCAGACGUCGAUGGAAACCGUGCGGCUAGAGUCCGGAAGAGGAGAGUGGAAUUCCUGGUGUAGCGGUGAAAUGCGCAGAUAUCAGGAAGAACACCCGUGGCGAAGGCGGCUCUCUGGGACGGUACUGACGCUGAGACGCGAAAGCGUGGGGAGCGAACAGG